rnacentral:rRNA from 1 species
CAGCAGUCGCCGCGGUAAUACGUAGGGUGCGAGCGUUAAUCGGAAUUACUGGGCGUAAAGCGUGCGCAGGCGGUUAUAUAAGACAGAUGUGAAAUCCCCGGGCUCAACCUGGGACCUGCAUUUGUGACUGUAUAGCUAGAGUACGGUAGAGGGGGAUGGAAUUCCGCGUGUAGCAGUGAAAUGCGUAGAUAUGCGGAGGAACACCGAUGGCGAAGGCAAUCCCCUGGACCUGUACUGACGCUCAUGCACGAAAGCGUGGGGAGCAAACAGGAUUAGAUACCCCUGUAGUCCCUGUCUCUUAUAC